UUUAAGUUAAAGCUCCAAACUGAAAUAAAUCUGUUUCUAGGUUUUAUCAAAGCAUCAAGUGAACUUUUUAUCAAAAAUAGAAUAAAUUAAAGUUGAAAAAUUUGAAAAUUUAUCAGAAACUUGUAUUUCUAAAAAAUCUUUUAUAUGCAAUACAUGUACAAGAAUGCCAUGAACACAAUUCUGAUACAAAGUCACUGCCCAUAAUAGUAUGAUAAUUCCAGCUGUAAAAUAGCAGGAAAAGACACUGAAAUUGGACGUAAAAUCACUUUUCCAGGCGUAAAAUACACAUAAUUAAUUAAGAGCAAGAAAAAUUAGAAAAGUAUGGGGUUACUUUAUUUUCCAUUUUUUCUUUCUUUUUUUUCAGUACUUUUUUUAGGGAUGUAAAGUUUGACUUAAAGUCAAAAAUGUCUAUGUUCCAUUCUAUGCUUGUAAAAUGAAAUUACGGCUGUAAAAGUGUACUUAGCUCUUUUAGUUGCAAUCUGUACAUUAAAUAGUUGAACUGUUAUUCAAUGCCCAGAAAAUGCAUAUUUCUGCAUAAAGUUUGUUGUUAAAAUCUGCUAUGAUAUUUAAUGUCAAUCUUGAAUAAAGUUUGACUUUGGUCUUUUCUUUUAAUUGGUCUCUUUAAUAUUAUUUUAAACUGAUAUCUGGUGUCAGUACUAACACUUUUCAUGUAAUGCUUACAAUAAUUAAAGUGAAAAAUUUAAAGGGAAAUAACUCCAAAAGUAUGCAAAAGAGUUAUGGUUCUUAAACACAGCACAUUACUCGCAAAGAUCUAUAUUUGUGAAGUUUCAAAUUAAUAUCUCCAAUACUUUUUAAGCUUAAUAAUCAGAACAAAAAUUAAGCAUGGAGAAGUACAAAAUGGCAAUAAACCCCAAAUCAUGCAAUAAAGAGUUAUGAUUCCUAGGCCUUGUACUUCUCAUCAAUGAGAUUUAGUUAUAUGUGGAGUUUAAAAUUAUUGUAUCAAACAUUUUUUGUACUAUGCUUUGCAGAUUAAAACUUACAAAGGGCAAAAACUCCAUAACUUUGCAGGAGAGAGUUAUGUAUUUUAAAGAAGAAAAAAAACAUGAAUCAAACUUGUUAACAAUAAUAUUUAAAUGCUAUUUAAUAAAUAUACAUAAAAAUAGAUCAGCCUUCAAGAUAAUGAAGCACUGUGCUUGCUUAUUAUACAUACACAAUAUACCGGGGGGUAGUAUGCCUUUCAGAGGCUUUAAAUCUAUAGUAAAAAUAAUUGUGUGAAAAGUAAAUAGCAAAUAGUUCCUGAUACUUUCUUAUAAUCAGGAUAAGUAAAUACUAGCUUGUAAAUACUGCAUCCUCUAAGAUUUAACAACAAGGCAUACAACACAGAUCUGAUAAAACUACUGCCCUCUUAUCUAGUAAUCUCUGCAUGGGUAAAAUAGUUUACUCAAGCUGACCAGACUGUUCCAUUUGAUUAUUUUGGGAGAGGCAACAUUAUACAUGUUAUAUGUAGAAUCUGUGUUAAAAUAGCAUGCUAAAUUAUCUUUCAAAAACUUAUUUCUACUCAAUCUAUUUAGAUAUUAGACAUAGUUUAUACAUUCAAAUGAAUGUAAAAAAUAACAUGAUGGGCGCUAUGGUUUUUUAAUAAUCCCUCACAGUUGAAAAUUAUAAUGGAACUUUCCAGUUGUACGGUUGUAAAGUUUGAAUUCAAAGGAAUUAAGGUCAGUUAAAGAUUGCAUACACAAAGGAAAUGAUUGGUAUUGUAGCAAUUCUGGAGAUAUUAUCUUGUUUAAAAUGUAAGGGUGCAUAUUUUUGAUUUCUCAAAGAAUACAUUAAAAGUCUUAUUAGUGUGGCAAAUAGAAAUGAGAAGUUUUAACUGAAGUGUGAAUGUGUAGAUUAUAACAUUAGACAAGAAGAUAAACAGCAGAGUCAUUCCAAGUCAAAGUUUCAGGUAAGCAACUUUUACAUAUAACAUUUAUUAUUAUUUUUGCAGAAACUAUUAAGUUUUUUUUACAGUAAAAUUAUGUAGUGGUAUUGUAUAAAUUUAUGUUUUAAAUUUGUUAUGUUUGUAACUUGACUAAAAAAAGAAAGCUGAUAUUACAUAUAAAGAAUAAAGGAAUGUAAAGAAUAUAGGAAGAGCUUCAUCAUUUCAUAAAUACAGUAUGUUAGAAAUUUUAAGUUUGAGAAAUAAUUAUAGAAAUUAAUCAGUAAGUACAAUAUCAGUAAUAUGUACAAUAUUACAUCAAUCAAACUAUAGAUAACCAGGUAGUGAGGUACUUUUUACUACAACUUUCAUGCUAUAAACAUAUUUCCUUGUGUGUCACAUGUGAAUCAGAUCAACAGUAACUGUUUUAAUGGUAAGCUUCAUUCCUUCAUGCAUUGUUGUAAUUCAGCUUUCAUGGUGCAGUAGAUAUAUAACCAUAACUAGACAGUCUAGAGUAACAAGCUGUUAGGAGAAUGACAGUUCAUAACAGAAACAGCAUUAAAUAAGAAUUAUUCUUUUGCAGACACAAAGCAAUGAGGACCAGCCUGGAGCAACACACUUGUUCUUCAGUGGCUUUACAAAGGACCAAGUGAUGGCAGAACUGAGGCACUAUGCAGCAAAUGAGAAAGGUACAACAAGGCUCUUCAGAAUGCUAUUCAGUAUAGCGGAGAUUACAGGCGGCUCGUUGUUUGGUAUGAGAAAAUGGAACAGAGAGUCUGACGCCAGACCUGCUUGUGCAGACAAGGCAAAACUUAAGUUCUUGAAAGAUUGUGCGCUGGAAAAGUGGCUGACAACCUAAAGGACUGAAAUCCAUAGGAUGAUUCUGCACCUCCUCAAACCGUCCAGGAAUAAAAAGAUAAACUGAAGAUAAUAAUGGACUAAUGUGUUGCUAUUUUUUGAGACAAUUAUUUCAUAUGGAGACAUUAAAAAAGAUUAUUUUUAAAAUUGGUUUGUUUCUCUUUUAGGGUACAGGGUGACUUUUAAGCAGUUUCCAGCUAUUGCCACCCACAAGGUGGAAAAUUUCUGAAAGGGUGAAAAUAGGUGGCAUUUAGUGGAAACUGAAUUUGCCACUUUGUGGUGGAAAAAUGGUGGAAAAGUGUCUAAAUACUCCACCAACUUGCCACCCUAAUGGUGGCAAAAGGUGAAAAUAAGUGGCAUUUGGUGGAAAAUGAGUUUGCCACUCAAUGGUGGCAUAAUGGUGGAAAUUCGUCUAAAUACUCCACCAUUUUUCCACCAUGAUGGUGGCAAUUAGUGGAAACAAGUGGCAUUUGGUGGAAAAUGAGUUUGCCACCCUAAGGUGGCAUAAUGGUGAAAGUUUGUCUAAAUACUCCACCAACUUUCCACUCAUUGGUGGCAUUAAGUGUAAAAAAGGUGGAAUUUACUGAAAAUUAUAUACCAUCAGUCCUGCUCAAAUUUUUCACCAUUUUCAUGAUUUGGGUGGCGUUUUGGUGGCAUUUUGGUGGCAUUAUUGGUGGAAAAUUGUCUAAAUACUCCAGCAUUGAAAAGGGUGGCAUUUAAGUGGCAAAUCGAGGGACGGGUAGAGUCUAAUAGCCAAUUUACUAUAGUUAUAACACUGGAAACAGCAUUGGUGACAAUAUACAAACAAAUUGGUUUACAAUCUCACAACCUUCACCUUUCUGACAUUCUGAGAUCCAAACAAAUUCAGCGCCUUCUGUGCUUUGAUUUAAGUUGGUUAUCACUAGAGAAGUAUAGCACUUAUUCACUUGAAAUUAAUAUUUAUAAACUGAAAGAUCACAUAUAGGCAAAGGACAGUGUAUUAGAAUCAUAACUCUCUUUUGAAUAAUUUUGGAGUAAUUGCCCUUUCCAUUUUACAUACUGAAUUUUAGUAACUAUAAAGUGACUCAUAAAGUUUUGGAUAUACAAUUUAUAACAAUUUGAAAUUUCACAUGUGUAUUUAUUUCAUUAAUGAGAAGCACACCAUUUUAGAACUAUAACUAUUAUAAUCUUUUAAUCAUUUUACAGGGAAUAUCGUUGUAAUGAAUUUGCUUGUUCAAUUUUGGCUUAUUUUUGCCUUAUUUAUUGAUUUAUUAUAUAAAUGUUAUCCUUGAUCUAAAAGUAGUACAUCUAAGUGUAAUUUUAUGUCAGGAAUUGAGAUACUGAUGCAGUUCAGUUGUUUUACUUUUCCAUCAUGAAUUCAAUCUUAUUUACUUUAUCUAAAGUAGAGAGUAAAUCAGUUAUUCUCAAACUUCUAAUAACUUGUUUGUUCAUUUGUAUGAUUUUGGAUCAGGUGCUCUUCAGUGUACUUUUUUUCUGGCAUGAGCCUGCUUCUGAUUUAUACCACCUACCUUCUGUAAGCUAGGAGGGUAAGCUAUUCGCAUAAAAUAAACCAAAGUCCCUGACAGGAUGCAAACCUAUGUGCUGAUUUCUCUGAUAGCUCUUGAUCAUAGUACAGAACAUUUAAAAAUACAUUCAAUACUUGACUUUUUAUA